AGAGACAAAAGGAGAGUUUGAGCAGAGGCAGAAAAAAACUUGCCUAGGACAGUGCUGAAGAGACUAUUUGGAGGGAAGCAGGACGCAAACAAGAUCCCUGUCACGUGAUCCCAGAAGCCAAGAGUUUACUCCAGAAGCUUCCUUUCAACUGGUCACCAGCUCCGCAUCCACUGAAAUCCUCCCCAUCCUCCACGUGCAUUAUUACGGUCUUUGUGUGGCAUGAAAGGGAUCUCCGCAUAAACUACUUUAUUAAGAAAAUAUUAGUCUUUUACAGAUGGAGAACCAGGUGCACGGUUUUCUUACAAUUCUGAUGGGGCCAGGAAGCCCUGUGUAAGGCCUUCACAUUAUGUGGUGGGAGGUGGCGACUGUGCGCUGCUCACUCCAGCCCAGAUUCUUACUGUCUGGUGGCUGGAAUAUGUGGGGCUGUCCUUAGACUCCUGCCAGGAAGCCGAAAUUCUUUGCUUGAGAGGAGCUGAUGCCCCUACAGACUUCACCUUCCUGCUGAGUAGUCCCAGAAAAAAAAUCGUAAAGCAUCUUCAACACACCCAGAAGGAGCCUGGAAGAGCUGGAGAACAUGAGACCACAUGUCAACUCAGGGCAUCAGGGAGGCAGGAAGUGUGUGGUUCAGACUGCGUGCAGACUGUGUCGAUGUAGGGGCUACCGAUCCACGCACCCCUGUGAGUGCUUCCUAUACUUCAGCAGGUACAGCAGAACAGAUGGACCUCUAGUUUUCCAGCUGCUCCCU